rnacentral:rRNA from 1 species
UAUUUAUUAGAUAACAGACCAAUAUUCCUCGUGUCUAUUGUGGUGACUCAUAGUAACUGAUCGGAUCGCAUGGCCUUGUGCCGCGACUAACCAUUCAAGUUUCCGACCCAUCAGCUUUCGAUGGUAGUGUAUUGGACUACCAUGGCUUUCACGGGUAACGGAGGAUUAGGGUUCGAUUCCGGAGAGGGAGCCUGAGAAACGGCUACCACAUCUAAGGAAGGCAGCAGGCGCGUAAAUUACCCAAUCCUGACUCAGGGAGGUAGUGACAAGAAAUAACGGGUCGGGGCAUUCGCCUCGGGAUUGCAAUGAAUCGAAUUUACACCCCUUAAUGAGGAUCAAUUGGAGGGCAAGUCUGGUGCCAGCAGCCGCGGUAAUUCCAGCUCCAAUAGCGUAUAUUAAAGUUGUUGCAGUUAAAAAGCUCGUAGUUUGAUUUCUGGACGGGCGCCAACACCCGCUUGUUUGGUGUGGAUGCAGCGCCCGCCCAUCCUUCUGUUUAUUAACCCCGCAUUCAUUUGCUGGCUGCGGGCUGAGAUAGAUAUUCUAGCUAGAGAAAAUUAGAGUGUUGCAGGCAUGCUU